AUUCUGUGAUGAGGGCAUUUCUUUUGUAGUUCUUUGAAUCAUUCCCAUACCUCAUACAAGGAUUCAUCAUCCAUUUGUUGGAAGGAAGUGAUCUCGUUCCUCAAUUU
rnacentral:snoRNA from 1 species